GUCAUAACCGACGAGUUUUUAGCCGGCAGGGAGACGACGGAAGUUUGAAAGUGUCGCCGAUAAUUCUUUUUUACGUCCCAUUGUCCUGUUCAGCAGCACUGGGGACGAAUUAGGAAAAAUGAUUGAGGACCUUAACCAGCUGUUUUCAAGCUGUACAGUUGUAGCAAUACUUCAAGCGUGAUACACGCAACGGGACGGGAAAAAAGUGAGUCCUUGUGCAGCAAGCUUAUCAUGCAUGCUCGGGGACCUUUUCUUCU